GACGAACCGUGCGAACGUUAUUCGGAAUCACUGGGCUUAAAGCGCGUGUAGGCGGCCCGGCACGUCCGCCGCUGAAAUCCCCCGGCUCAACCGGGGAACGGGCGCGGAUACGACCGGGCUGGAGGGGGGUAGGGGGCGCCGGAACUUCCGGUGGAGCGGUGAAAUGCGUUGAGAUCGGAAGGAACGCCCGUGGCGAAAGCGGGCGCCUGGACCCCGACCUGACG
rnacentral:rRNA from 1 species